rnacentral:rRNA from 1 species
AGAGUUUGAUCAUGGCUCAGAACGAACGCUGGCGGCAGGCUUAACACAUGCAAGUCGAACGAACGUAGCAAUACGUUAGUGGCGCACGGGUGAGUAACGCGUGGAUAUCUGCCUUUUGGUUCGGGAUAACCUUGGGAAACUAGGGCUAAUACCGAAUGGUUCCUACGGGAUAAAGAUUUAUCGCCAAAAGAUGAGUCCGCGUCCGAUUAGCUAGUCGGCGGGGUAAUGGCCCACCAAGGCGACGAUCGGUAGCUGGUCUGAGAGGACGAUCAGCCACACUGGGACUGAGACACGGCCCAGACUCCUACGGGAGGCAGCAGUGGGGAAUAUUGGACAAUGGGGGCAACCCUGAUCCAGCCAUGCCGCGUGAGUGAUGAAGGCCUUCGGGUUGUAAAGCUCUUUUGGCGGGGACGAUGAUGACGGUACCCGCAGAAUAAGCCCCGGCUAACUUCGUGCCAGCAGCCGCGGUAAGACGAAGGGGGCUAGCGUUGUUCGGAAUUACUGGGCGUAAAGCGUGUGUAGGUGGUUGUCAUAGUCAGGCGUGAAAGCCUUGAGCUCAACUCAAGAAAUGCGCUUGAUACUGGGCAGCUAGAGGACCGGAGAGGAUAGUGGAAUUCCCAGUGUAGUGGUGAAAUACGUAGAGAUUGGGAAGAACACCAGUGGCGAAGGCGGCUAUCUGGACGGUUUCUGACACUAAGACACGAAAGCGUGGGGAGCAAACAGGAUUAGAUACCCUAGUAGUCC